AAGUCGUAACAAGGUCUCCGUAGGUGAACCUGCGGAGGGAUCAUUACUGAGAUAGUCACCUGGUGCUCUUGGUCCACACUGGACCUCGAGCGCUGGACGCCUAACCUCCAACCCUUUGUUAUCUCUACCAAGUUGCCUCGGGGCGCCCGAAGAUGAGCGAUCGUCUUUUGCCCCGGUGGAACAAUCAUACUCUGUUUUAUCUAUCAAGUCCGAGUCAAAAUUAUUAAAUUAUUUUAAAA
rnacentral:misc_RNA from 1 species